GCAUUAAUGGGGUAGUGGUAACCUGGGUCGUUGCCACAUCAUUUGAUUAACUCGACCCGCCGGGGGUUCGAUUCCCUCUUAAUGCA